CAGUCAACAAACUAAUCAACGAAGGCAACCUCAAAGUGAUCAUCUACAGCGGUCAGCUGGAUCUCAUUUGUGACGUUCUGGGCACGGAGAAGUGGUUCAGCACCAUGGACAUCUUCCCAAAGUUCAAGGCCGCGGAGAGGCGUGCCUACCGCUGCCCCGGGGAGCGGGUCUGCUUCUUUGGGAAAAAGCUGGACAACAUGGAGUUUUACUGGAUUCUCAAGGCCGGCCACAUGGUGCCUUCAGACAAUGGUCCUGGUGCUCUCGAUAUGGUCAACGAAAUCAUUGAAGAUAGCUAAAUGAGCGGGUCAGUGAUCAAGACGAGUCUGUCAGUGGCCAAAUGUCAGAGGAUUGACCUCGCUAUAUAUAAGUCUGUCCGUCAUUUACAACGUACAUGUAUUUAGUUCUUGAGUAAACACCGUCUACUAAUACGAAAAA